rnacentral:rRNA from 1 species
GAGUUUGAUUCUGGCUCAGGACGAACGCUGGCGGCGUGCCUAAUACAUGCAAGUGGAACGCAUUGAUUUCACCGGAGCUUGCUCCACCGAAAUUAGUGAGUCGCGAACGGGUGAGUAACGCGUAGGUAACCUACCUCUUAGCGGGGGAUAACUAUUGGAAACGAUAGCUAAUACCGCAUAACAAUAGGAUACACAUGUACCCUAUUUAAAAGGAGCAACUGCUUCACUAAGAGAUGGACCUGCGUUGUAUUAGCUAGUUGGUAGGGUAACGGCCUACCAAGGCAUCGAUACAUAGCCGACCUGAGAGGGUGAUCGGCCACACUGGGACUGAGACACGGCCCAGACUCCUACGGGAGGCAGCAGUAGGGAAUCUUCGGCAAUGGGGGGAACCCUGACCGAGCAACGCCGCGUGAGUGAAGAAGGUUUUCGGAUCGUAAAGCUCUGUUGUAAGAGAAGAANCGUGUGAGAGAGUGGAAAGUUCUCNNCAGUGACGUACUACCA